rnacentral:lncRNA from 1 species
GCUCUGAUCCUGUGCCUUGAGAUACAUAGCCAGCCAGUCGUCAUUGCAUCAUUUGCAUCAUAGCAUGUUUAUUUAAAAAAAAAUGAAAAAAUGUGAAGAAAAAAGAAAAAAGCUAAUCUCCUCAUGCAUAUCAUUUCUCAGGUUCAUUCAGGAGUCUGUUCACUGUGAGAGAUGGCAACCAUUCCAGAGUUGAAGAGGAAGACUUGCACCUACAGUUUUCACCGUUCUCCUCAUGCAUAUCAUUUCUCAGGUUCAUUCAGGAGUCUGUUCACUGUGAGAGAUGGCAACCAUUCCAGAGUUGAAGAGGAA